rnacentral:rRNA from 1 species
GUGGGGAAUAUUGGACAAUGGGGGCAACCCUGAUCCAGCCAUGCCGCGUGAAUGAUGAAGGCCUUCGGGUUGUAAAGUUCUUUUGGAGGGGACGAUGAUGACGGUACCCUCAGAAUAAGCUCCGGCUAACUUCGUGCCAGCAGCCGCGGUAAUACGAAGGGAGCUAGCGUUGUUCGGAAUUACUGGGCGUAAAGGGCGCGUAGGCGGUUUGGUUAGUCAGAUGUGAAAGCCCAGGGCUUAACCCUGGAACUGCGUUUGAUACUGCCAAGCUUGAAUUCGGGAGAGGUGAGUGGAAUUCCCAGUGUAGAGGUGAAAUUCGUAGAUAUUGGGAAGAACACCGGUGGCGAAGGCGGCUCACUGGACCGACAUUGACGCUGAGGCGCGAAAGCGUGGGGAGCAAACAGGAUUAGAUACCCCUGUAGUCC